AUCUGCAGGACAGUAGCUCUCCAGGAGCAGGGUUGGAGAUCCCUGAUCUAGAACAUUAGCAACCAAACAGAAAUGCUCUUGCAACCACCAGGAACCCUUUAGAAACUGCAUAGAAAUGCCCUAGCAACCACCCAGAACCCCUUAGCAACCACACAGAAAUGUUCUUUCAACCACCCAGAACAUUCUAGCAAUCAUAUAGACUUUAUGUAGCCCCGACCCUUUUCAACACUGUGCUCGUUGUCUUCUGUCUUCAAGUUUCUAAUUUCCACAGCAUGAAGCCAGGAGGGCUGAAUACAGUCUUCUGCUACAGUGCCACACUGGUCAAACCACAUUAUUGCAGGGCCCAACUGUGAAGUGAAGCCUUUACUUAUGGCUAUUUAAGAAGACAUUUCCUGUUUAGAACAGGAUAAUGUGUUUCUCUUUGGCCUGAACCUGCAGCUCUUGCCAGCAGCUGCUCUGUGGCGAUCCUCACACAUUUCUGCACCACAGAAUGAGGGAGGAGGAGGAAACGGGGCAAUAAAAAGUGAGAGUGCGAGAGAGUGAGGAGGGGGCCUGAGAUUCCAGAAAACCCAGUGUGACACACUUUCUCUGGA